rnacentral:rRNA from 1 species
GCAGUGGGGAAUUUUGGACAAUGGGCGAAAGCCUGAUCCAGCAAUGCCGCGUGUGUGAAGAAGGCCUUCGGGUUGUAAAGCACUUUUGUCCGGAAAGAAAUCCUUGGCUCUAAUACAGUCGGGGGAUGACGGUACCGGAAGAAUAAGCACCGGCUAACUACGUGCCAGCAGCCGCGGUAAUACGUAGGGUGCGAGCGUUAAUCGGAAUUACUGGGCGUAAAGCGUGCGCAGGCGGUUUGCUAAGACCGAUGUGAAAUCCCCGGGCUCAACCUGGGAACUGCAUUGGUGACUGGCAGGCUAGAGUAUGGCAGAGGGGGGUAGAAUUCCACGUGUAGCAGUGAAAUGCGUAGAGAUGUGGAGGAAUACCGAUGGCGAAGGCAGCCCCCUGGGCCAAUACUGACGCUCAUGCACGAAAGCGUGGGGAGCAAACAGGAUUAGAUACCCUGGUAGUCCACGCCCUAAACGAUGUCAACUAGUUGUUGGGGCUUCAUUUGCGU